GGAGGAGUGUCCGAGUGGUUUAAGGAGGCGGUCUUGAAAACCGUUGUACCGCAAGGUACCGGGGGUUCGAAUCCCUCCUCCUCCGCCA
rnacentral:tRNA from 2 species